UACGUAGGGUGCAAGCGUUGUCCGGAAUUAUUGGGCGUAAAGAGCUCGUAGGCGGUCUGUCGCGUCGGAUGUGAAAAUCCAGGGCUCAACCCUGGACCUGCAUUCGAUACGGGCAGACUAGAGUUCGGUAGGGGAGACUGGAAUUCCUGGUGUAGCGGUGAAAUGCGCAGAUAUCAGGAGGAACACCGGUGGCGAAGGCGGGUCUCUGGGCCGAAACUGACGCUGAGGAGCGAAAGCGUGGGGGAGCGAACAGG
rnacentral:rRNA from 1 species